GAAGGAAGAUGAGAAGAAUGAGCGAAUAAUUCAGGGUCUUCUCAAACAACCGGAGAACCGUAGAUGUAUUAACUGCAACAGUUUGGGGCCUCAAUAUGUUUGCACAAGUUUCUGGACAUUUUUUUGCACCACCUGCGGUGGAAUACAUCGGGAGUUCACACACAGAGUUAAAUCAGUAUCUAUGGCUAAAUUCACUUCUCAAGAGGUUGUCGCUCUUCAAGAAGGGGGAAAUCAG